UCAAUUGGUUGCAGUCGUAAA
ensembl:piRNA 21ur-3000 ncRNA